rnacentral:rRNA from 1 species
AACGAACGCUGGCGGCAUGCCUAACACAUGCAAGUCGAACGAGACCUUCGGGUCUAGUGGCGCACGGGUGCGUAACACGUGGGAAUUUGCCUCGGGGUAUGGAAUAACUCAGGGGAAACUUGAGCUAAUACCAUAUAAUGUCUUCGGACCAAAGAUUUAUCGCCCUGAGAUAAGCCCGCGUAGGAUUAGCUAGUUGGUGGGGUAAAGGCUCACCAAGGCGACGAUCCUUAGCUGGUCUGAGAGGAUGAUCAGCCACACUGGGACUGAGACACGGCCCAGACUCCUACGGGAGGCAGCAGUGGGGAAU